GAUGAACGCUGGCGGCGUGCUUAACACAUGCAAGUCGAGCGAUGAAGUUUCCUUCGGGAAACGGAUUAGCGGCGGACGGGUGAGUAACACGUGGGUAACCUGCCUCAUAGAGUGGAAUAGCCUUCCGAAAGGAAGAUUAAUACCGCAUAACGUUGAAAGAUGGCAUCAUCAUUCAACCAAAGGAGCAAUCCGCUAUGAGAUGGACCCGCGGCGCAUUAGCUAGUUGGUGGGGUAACGGCCUACCAAGGCGACGAUGCGUAGCCGACCUGAGAGGGUGAUCGGCCACAUUGGGACUGAGACACGGCCCAG
rnacentral:rRNA from 1 species